CACAGCGCCCUUCCCGCUCGGGUCCCGCGGGCUCCUGCUUGCCUUUUCCGGGAGAUUUCGGCGUUCUGCUGGGGAGAGGGUCGGGAUUUGGCGCACAAGCGAGGCUUUAUCGCUUCCAGUGAUAGCGAGCCCGUUCCCGUCUGAGCCUUUGGGCCUUUUUAUCUUCUUUCAUUACUGAAAGCCGCAGGACGAGGGGACGUGGUCUUAUGCUGUGCCACCGGAGGUUUAUGUUGGACAUUAGUAUGGGAUUUAUUCACAGAGGGGGUGACUGGACUUUGGAUGGGCUGCCCAGGGAGACGGCGGGGCCUGUUCCUGGAGGUGUUUAAGGAAGGACUGGAUGUGGCACGGUCUAGUUGAACUUGGUGGCGUUCGGUCACAGGUGGGACUCGAGGGUCCCAGAGGUUUGUUCCAGCCCAGCUGAUUCUGUAAAGUGGAGGUGUGAGAGCAGACGUUUUAAGUAAAAUCGCUCGUUUUAUUCAUGCUUAAUUUUAAGAGCAUAAAUUAAUUUUAUUUAUGGAAGUUCCAUUAUCUGUUCAGGUUGGUCAUUGGAGGCAUAUUUUUUACUGAGUAUUGUCUUUGAUUUGACGUGGACAGUGGUCAUUUUUAGUCCUAAACCAAGCAUUUUGCUGAAAAUAUGUCUGUUACAUCACUGGAGAACCAGAGAAACAUGUAUUGAGAUGAUGGCCUAUAGUAGGGUCACUAUGACUGUCUUUUAAAAUAAUAAUUAAAUUCUAAUUUGGAGUUCUGUCCAGGAAUCAUAGACAUGUGUAAUAUUAGCGUAAGUACUGCACCUCUGCAAUAACUACAAUUAUUCAAGAAAACUUGCUUGGUAUUUUAAGAUGAGCUUACUUUCAGCUAUCACACUCUGCUUUAAUAUUUUUUUUUCCCUACCAGUUGCUUUAGAGAUCUUCAUUUGGUCUUAAAAUAUCAUUUGAUGCAGUUAACUUUUAUAUGCCAAUUAUUCCAUUGUUUAGGCUUGUUUGCACUUGGAUUAUAUGUACUCUUUUUAUUUAAUCUUUAAAUCUCUAAUUUACUAACAUCUUAUUUGAAAGUACUGGAGACUGUAUUCUGAUAAAGCAGCUCCAAGAAAUGUGGAUACAGAAGUUGUCAUCCUGUUGGUGUUUCCUGAAAUGCAGCAAUGGCUUUUGCCAAUGGAGAUCAGUACUUGAAAAAUUUGUUUUGAUGAUAGUCACGUUUCUCUGGUCUCUUCCUCCCUGCAGUGAAAACAUCAUUUGGUUCUGGUGGUUUGUUUUCUGAGCAAUUUAACGAUUACAUAUAUACUGGUUUUGAACUCGUAUGUGAGGAACCCAUGUUUAUUCUGUUACCAGCUAUUCCAGCUACUUCCUGAGGAAGUUUUCCAUCUAUAAGUGUUUUAAAUUCAUCACUCUUAAAUACAUGACCUCACACUGAUCAUGCUGAAGCACUUCAUUUUCCAGUAAUCCAGAUGGUUCCCAAUCAGCAGCCUUGCUGCACUGUUUACUUAGAGCUUUUAUGAAUGUUCUUAGUAAACUUUAUUUCCAGAUAAAAUACUGAGUACCUUGCUGCCAAGAACUAAUUCCUGUGGGAUUCAAUUAGAAAUAUGCCUGACACAGACCUGUACCCUUAGUUUUAAUUUGCUUGCUGUUAAAUGUAUGCGCACAACUGUGCCAGGUUUUUUGUGUCUUACUGAAAAAGUCAGUGUGCAAAUGUGUUAUAUCAACACUGUUCCCAUUGUCUACCAAACAAAUUCUGUAAUUGCAUGAGAAAAAAAGUAAUUCCGAAAAGAUACAUUUUCCAUACAUUUAAGCUAUGUAAUUUAAGUACAAUUUGCUCAUUUAUUUCUUGUUCCAAUAUGAAGAAGUUGGUUUGGGGUUGUUUUUUUUCCCCUGGGAUUAAGGCGAGGUUGACCGUAAGUUCCUGAAUUUGUUCCUUUCUUACUUAUAUUCCUAGUAUUGGCAUUACCUCAGCUUUCUUUGAGAUUUUUCUUUUUUUUUUCUGAGCUUCCCCAGAUUUCUCAGAGCUUAUGGAAAAUCCACAUUAACAGCACACAAGUUGCCUUUGCCAGCUCUUAAAAUUCUUGGAUGCAGGCUAUCUGGAGCUGCUGAUUUAAAAACCGCCUCACUUCUGUUCCUAUGUUUAAGGCUUUCCAUGGCUAUUGUUGGAAUUUUCUGAUGCGUGUUGUUUUUCUCCACAAAUGUGCAACAGAAGUUUAUCUAAACUUUGUUUUUUCUGAAGUACACUAUAUAUUUAAAAAUGCUCCUUCUUUUCAUUUAUGUGAGUAAAAGCCAUUCUAAAUACAACUUUUUGCUUAUCUUGUGUUUUGUCAGUCUUCUAAUUAAUAUUCUCAAUUUUGCCUGGUUUUCCUUUGAUUACAUACAGCUUUUCAUGUAGGUUUUUCUCCCCAGACAGUGCUAACUUUAAUUAAGAGAUUAUGAUUCUGUGACUGAAAUGAAUACCCAACAGUCUGUGCUUUUUAGGUGAAGCUUCCAGGAAUGUUUCCCUCAUGUCAAGUAAUUAAGAAGAUUAAACAAUUAAGAAGCAAGACAUACUUUUGACAUGAUUUAGUAGUAUGUAGCAGAAACAAUUUGAUACCUAAUUUAAUGAUUUCUCAUGCAGAGUAUCAGUCCAUGUGCAUUCAUGAUACUUUCUGACUUGUUUUGCGGUUUACAGAUUACUGGGGAUAUUUGUUCUCUCAUCCUUUGACUAGUUUGUCCUUCAGAAGAGUAGAUCUGGGAUGGGUCUGUCUAGGUGACAAAAGGAGCAUGUGUGCACAUAGUCAAUCAGGUCUUUUGAAGUAACUUAGUGAAAUGCAGAUUUUUGUUGUCUUCUGGUGAAUGUUGAACCUUUCUGAUGCACCUUUGGCUGGGUCAAAGGACAGACGUACUCCCCAGGCUUUGCAGCUUGGGUUAUGAACACCUUUUUUUUUUUUUUUUUGAGUAGAUUUAUUCUGCGUAUUUCACACUGGUGGCCCGUGGAUGGUUUUGGCAGGGCUCACAGCAGCUUCCUUAAAUCUGCUAAGUCACUUCUCAUAGUGGUUAUUUCAUGUGGGCAGCUCCCUAGAAGCUGUCUUAGUUAUGCCAGCCUAAUACUUCUGGUAUUUGCUUUCAGUGGUGAUUAAUAUACUGCAAUUUACUUGUAAAUCGCUUGCUUUUCCAAGGUCACUGGGAUCUGAACACACUUUUAAGGGUUUUGUUUGAGCUGGGCUUCAAAUACCUGUGAAGCAGGAUCAUGUGAAGCAGGCUUCCACAAAGGUCAUCAAUAGAUGAGUCUCUAAACCAGUCAGGAGAAAUCCAAUGAAAGCUAUUUUCAACCCUUUUAAGAAAGGCUACAGCAUCUGCUUGUUCCUAAUUGUAGGUAUCUGCUGAUCCUCUUGUGUUAAGUUUCUCAGCUGUAUCAUGUUGCAGAACUCUUGUCCAAGUUCUUUGUUCAGCAAGUAGCUUUCUCUACAAGUGUCUGAGCUACUGGAACUUCAGAAAAACACGUGGAACUAAAAAAUACCCCCCUUUACAAGACUGAUUCGUGUAAAUGCUAACUGGCAUUGCUCUCUGCAGGUAGCAGGCAGACAGAAUGCACAGCUGGACUUCUCAUAUUGCACCUAGCCAGUCCAUUUUACAUUUUCUAAAUUUUUAUGCCAAUUCUAGCAUAAAGCUCAGGAUAUAAAAGUGCAACCACUCCUCAAAAUACUAGGCUCUCUUUAUGUGAAAAACGUGAGAUGAUUAAUUCAUGUUCUUAUGGUAAAUUGGAAAAUUAUAAAGCUGUAUAAAUUUAUAUCAGGUAAAAGUCUGUGUUUCAGGAGGUUUCUGCAGCAGAUGGUGAAACUGAGCACCCUGAAAAUCAGGCGUCUCCAUUCAGAAGGGAACAAAAGACUUUGCAGCCUUCUCAAGUAUUGGGAGGGGACCUGUUGAGAUGAGCCGGUAUCAGCAACUCACACCUCGGGAGCCACUUUCACAGACCAUCAAGCAAUAUCAGCCAUAUCUCGAACAUUCAUCAACUAUAAGGAUCCAUAAAAACUGAAUAUUAACACAUGGACUUGGGAGGGGAGCUCUUUUUCAAUCCGACCGGAGACGAAUUUGGGUUUGAAUAGCUAACCAAGAAACAAAGGGAAGUAUGGGGAAAUAUUGCCAGAGGCAGAAUAAAGAGUAUAAAAACCAAGCCUCGAACAUGGCAAAUUCGUGAACCCAGUUAGAGACACCGACUGCCAGGUUCUGUGUCUCUGGGGUCACCCUUGGCUCAACUUUUCCCGGGAGAACUCCUGUCAAGUAAGUUUCGCUGUUCGUGGGGUUCGUAUUGUUUUGUUUUUAUUGCUUAAAAUUGUUAUAAUUUGAUUCCAAAUUUUGUGAUUUGAAUUUUAAUAAACCAAAUUAUUGAAUUUGGCAAUAAAUUUGUCCUGGCAUUUAUAACACUUUACCUUAAAAAUUCUUCAUGUAAGCACGGAAAGCAUGAUUACAUGAAUCAGAAAAAGAGCAACUCUUUUUUGGAGUCUUUUACUGUUGACAAACAUUGCCACAAAUACUGAGUGUUAUGAGAUGUUUUCAAGAGGGCAACUUGAACUUCAUUGUUAUCACCACAAGCUCUUCUAAAUAUGUGCUUUAUGCCUGCAGAUAAUACACUUGGCCUCUAAUACUAUGGAUGUGGUUAGAGCAAAACUUCUCCCUUGUCAGCCUGUUUUGCCUUGUUUUUUUGACAUAGAUUACUGUGACAAAAAACACAAAGCUGCUGAUACGCCACAGCAUUUCUAGUGAGAUAGAAUCUGUGGUACAUCAUUACAACGUCUUCAGGUACUUGGGGCUGAAACAGCAUUGUCCAUCUGGGACGCUUUCAGGAAGCUAUUUGAAUUCAUCCUGUUCUAGUUCAAUCUUUUUUUUUUUCAAAUUGAUGAAUUAUGUAUUCUCUGCUUUCCUGCAAGAAUGUUUGUCUUCUCUCCACUCCUUGCUCUGCAGAUGUGAUGCUUCCAUCAAAUUCGUAAAAAUGAAAAACCACCUGCAGAAAAUGACUGUAACUCACACAGCCUGGAUACCAACCAAGCAGAUGAAGUUAUGUACACAGAUGCUAACACUGCAAAAAUUCAUACAUGAGUCAAAUGAACUUCUGUGGUCAGAAGUGACCUCUGGAGACUCUAGUCCACCCCCCUACAGAAGAGGGGCAACUAGAGCAGCUUGUCCAGUACCAGGUCGAGUUCUGAGUAUCUCCGAAGAUGAAGACUCCUUAAUCCUUCUGAACAACCUGCUCCAGUGUUUGAUCAACUUCACUGCAGAAAUGUUUUCUCUUGCAUUUAAAUGGGGUUUCCUGUCCUUCUAUUUGUUUCCAUUACGUCUGGUCCUGUCACUGAGCAGCACCGAGAAGAGACUGGCUCCAUCUUUACUGCCUCUCAUCAGUAUUUCUACAAACUGCUAAGAUCCUCCUGAGCCUUCUUUUUCCAGACUGAAGGCUCCCAUCUCCCAGUUUCUCCUCACAUGCAGAGAUUCCAGUCCGGUGAUCUCCUCAAUGGCCCUUUGCUGCAAUCCUGGUCCCGUACAUCCGCGGCUUUCUUGUUCGGGCAGAGUCCUGAGGAGAUCGCAGCGCCCCAGGCGUGUCUCACUAGGGCUGAGUGAGCACCGGGAAUAAUCUCCGCUGGCAGUGCCCUGGCAGAGCUGGAUGCAGCCUUAGGAGUGCACCCCAGCUGCUGUUGGCCGCCUUUGCCGCAAGGGUGCAUUGCUCGCUCGUGUUCAACGUGGUGUCUGCCAGCAGCUCCGGGCCCUUCUGCAGGGCUCCUUCCCGGGCUGGCCCCGGGAGCGUCCUGGCGCCCGGGCUUAUCCAGCCCCGCUCGCAGACACCGCCGCUCCCUGCGCUGGGUGCCAGCAGCAGGCUCCUGCAGCUUGGGCAUGUCCCUGAACACCAUCAUCCGAAAUAUCGACUGCUCCAUCCAAUUCUGUAGCACCUGCAGACUUGCAGAGGGUGCACCAUGCCAUCAUCCAAGGCUUUAAUAGAAAUAUUAGCCUGCACUAAUCAGCAGAUUCCUGCAGCUUGGGCAUGUCUCUGAACACCAGCACCACCAUCCGAAGUACGAACUGUUCCAGUUCUGUAUCAUCUUCAGACUUGCAGAGGGGGCUCCAUCCCAUCAUCCAAGCCUUAAACAGAAAUAUUAGCCUGCACUAAAUUGGUCAAGCAUGAUUUCCUCUUAAUAAAUCCCUGGUGAUUACUCCCAAUCACAUUUUUGUCCUUCAUAUGUUCACCAGUGAUGUCCAGAUUUAUUUGUUCCACCAGUUUUCCAGGGAUUUAGAUGAGGCUGACUGGCUUUAAGUUUUCCAGAUCCUCGUUCUUGGCCAUCUUGCUGAAAGGAGUUAUAUUUAUUUUCUUUCAGACCUUAGAAAGAGCACCAUUCUCUCCCGAGCACCAUGACCUUCCAAAGCUAGGCAAGUGUUGCCUGGCAAUGACAAUUGGCAAGCUCCCUCAGCAUUUGUGAAUAAGCCCCAUCAGAGCCUAUGAAGUUCUGUAUAUCUUGUUUCAGAGUUCCCUAACCUGAUCCUUCUUUACCAAUAAUAAAUCUUCCUUGCUUCAGACACCACACUGGCCUCUUAACUCUUACAUAUUUAUUAUUUAUGUUUGAGUUUAAUCAGGAGCUCCUUGUUUAUCCCUGGAGACAUCCUGUCACCUUUACCUGAUUUCCUGCUCAUGAAGAUGGACCAAUCUUGAGCUUGGAGAAGGCAAUCCUUGAAAAUGAACCAGGUGUUGUUGGCCCUUUUUCUGUCCAGGAUCAUAUCCCAGGGAAGUCUUUAAAAAUAAAUUUUAAAAAAUACUUCAAAAAAAAAAAAGACUUCCCAGGGAAGUCUUAAAAAAUAAAUUUCCUAAUUACAUGAGUGACAUCUGUAUAAGAUAUAUUAGCAGAUUUUAUAUUAAAGGAAAUAAAAGAUACAUAGACAUGUAAAGAAGGAUCCAAUACUGCUUUCACUGGAAGAAUUGCACUUCACAGUUCUGUUGGAUUGUAUUGGAGUCGUUUAGAAGCACUAACAGCAUGUAGAUAAAGCACUGAUUGAUAUGUUCCCUUAGGGUUUCCAAAGGUAUUUGAAAAAUCCUUCAUUGCAGACUUUUGAAAGGUACUAAGCAGCCACAUCUAGGAGAGAAAACUCAGGGCUGGAUAAGUCAAAAGAUAGGCACAGGGGGUAAAAACUGUCAGUUCUCUCAGCAGGAGAAAGUGCCCACUGGUGUUUCAGGGGAUCCUCUGCUGCCCAGCACACCCACAAAUGACGUGCAAGAGGGGGAGCCAGAAUAUCAACAAAUUUGCUGAUGGUGGAGUUAUUUAAUUGCAACGGCCAACUACAAACUGGCAGAAAGAAAUUCAAGGGAUAUUGGUGUAACGUGAGGCAAACAGGCAAAAUUAUCAUCACAUAGAACCAAGGAUUCUGAGCUGUUAGGCUUGAGAUAUUUCUUGAUUAGUAUUAACUCAGAGCUCAUUAGCAAUCAAAAAACAAAACAAACAUUUGAAGUUAAUAAAAGAGACCCUCAUUAUGAGAGCAGAGUAUGGUGUGCCUACAUCUCGAGUGCUGUGCAGAGUUCUCUCUCACACU